GGCGUCACUACAGACUCCCUGGUUCAAAUCCAGGCUGCGUUUCUAUCAAAAAACCACAAACAUUAUUUGCCAAUAUCAUAACUGGAGCUGGACAUCUUUGGAGCAGAAGAAUGAGGACAGCUUUUGUAUGCUAACGUACACUCCUUAACAGUCUUACUGGAUGAAAAGACAGCAAGAAAACACAUAUGCCAAUAUGUAAUAGUCGUCUAUUUUAUUGCAGUAUUGGUAGUUGGUUCAACAACUUGUUAUACUAGAGGACAAAAAACUGAAAAUGCAUAACCCAUAUUUAAUAUUCAUGCAGUGACUGAACAACAACUGCAUUUCCACCCCCACCUCACCUCUGAAGGCAUAGUAUCAUGGCAGUCAGUCACUUAUUGCUGCAGAUGUGCUCAAUAAUGCUUGAGCAUGUGAUACUCCUCAAAGCAUGGUGAAAUACAUAGAGGUGUAUCACAAGCUAAACACAUGUAUUUUGUCAUCUUCCUCUGCUUACUUCUCCUGGUGCCAGACAGGCAGACUUUGCAGUGCCUCCUUGUGCGACUACCUUGAGCAGCAGUUUGAGGGACUUUGCAGGGAAAAUGCCGUGCAGUAAGGCGUAGGGGAUUGUUUACAGCAGGACGACCCCCAGUGGAUGGGCGCCGAGGGGUGUGGUGCUCCUCCAGCAGCUCUCUCAUUAGGUUCUCUCUGUAUUUUUGUCAGGUGAUCCACCUUCCCUGUGGCCGACAUGGUUGCUGUAUGGACAGUGGAGAGGACAUGGACAUCUCUUUUGUCAUGCCACUUUACUGCCAGCUGUUGACCAUUCUCCUGGAACUCCACCUCCCCUCUCUGCAUCUUCCUGCAUCCGAAUCCUGGCAUCCCCUUCCUGUUCGACCUGACUGUGCCACAGGCCCCUGUGCUGUUGGAGAGCAGAUGCUGGAAGAGUGUGGGACUGCUGUACCAAUUGUCCACGUACAAAGUGUGUCCCUUGCCGAGAUGAGGAGCCAGCAUGGUCAUCACUACGGACCCGGACACCCCAAGC